rnacentral:rRNA from 1 species
UACGUAGGGGCCGAGCGUUGUCCGGAGUUAUUGGGCGUAAAGCGCGUGUAGGCGGCUUUGCAAGUCGGGUGUGAAAGCCCUCAGCUCAACUGAGGAAGUGCGCCCGAAACUGCAGAGCUUGAGUGCCGGAGAGGGUGGCGGAAUUCCCCAAGUAGAGGUGAAAUUCGUAGAUAUGGGGAGGAACACCGGUGGCGAAGGCGGCCACCUGGACGGUAACUGACGCUGAGACGCGAAAGCGUGGGGAGCAAACAGG